CGAUGAACCACUUCGGUGGGGAUUAGUGGCGAACGGGUGAGUAACACGUGGGCAAUCUGCCCUUCACUCUGGGACAAGCCCUGGAAACGGGGUCUAAUACCGGAUACGACACUCUCGGGCAUCCGAUGAGUGUGGAAAGCUCCGGCGGUGAAGGAUGAGCCCGCGGCCUAUCAGCUUGUUGGUGAGGUAACGGCUCACCAAGGCGACGACGGGUAGCCGGCCUGAGAG
rnacentral:rRNA from 1 species